AGUGAACGCUGGCGGUAGGCCUAACACAUGCAAGUCGAACGGCAGCACAGUAAGCGCUUGCUCUUACGGGUGGCGAGUGGCGGACGGGUGAGGAAUACAUCGGAAUCUACUUUUUCGUGGGGGAUAACGUAGGAAAACUUACGCUAAUACCGCAUACGACCUACGGGUGAAAGCAGGGGAUCUUCGCACCUUGCGCGAGUGAAUGAGCCGAUGUCGGAUUAGCUAGUUGGCGGGGUAAAGGCCCACCAAGGCGACGAUCCGUAGCUGGUCUGAGAGGAUGAUCAGCCACACUGGAACUGAGGCACGGUCCAGACUCCUACGGGAGGCAGCAGUGGGGAAUAUUGGACAAUGGGCGCAAGCCUGAUCCAGCCAUACCGCGUGGGUGAAGAAGGCCUUCGGGUUGUAAAGCCCUUUUGUUGGGAAAGAAAAGCAGCAGGUUAAUACCCCGCUGUUCUGACGGUACCCAAAGAAUAAGCACCGGCUAACUUCGUG
rnacentral:rRNA from 1 species